AGGAGCACAACCGGGCGAGAAGGGAGCGGACGUCGGAGUCAAAAGGUUGGUGUCUGAAGCUGGUGAAUACUUAUUGAACGACAGACACACGGGAGUGCAAAGGUGGCUUAAGGAUAUCCUUGAUUUGGAAAUUUGAUCUUCAGAAACAUGGAUGGCUUGAAUUUUCUAAGAGGUGUGUGGAGACACUGCAUUGAUGAAUGCACAUUUGUAAAAAAGAAUGAAUAAAUGUUUAAUAUGCCGCUUUGA